GUCAAGUCUAGCUCAGUCAGUAAAGCAUAAGACUCUUAAUCUCUGGGUUGUGGGUUCGAAUCCCACAUUGGGCA